rnacentral:rRNA from 1 species
UACGGAGGGGACUAGCGUUGUUCGGAAUUACUGGGCGUAAAGCGCACGUAGGCGGAUUUGUUAGUCAGGGGUGAAAUCCCGAGGCUCAACCUCGGAACUGCCUUUGAUACUGAAGAUCUUGAGUUCGGGAGAGGUGAGUGGAACUGCGAGUGUAGAGGUGAAAUUCGUAGAUAUUCGCAAGAACACCAGUGGCGAAGGCGGCUCACUGGCCCGAUACUGACGCUGAGGCACGAAAGCGUGGGGAGCAAACAGG